rnacentral:misc_RNA from 1 species
UAACCCUCCGAGCGAUAUUUAUUUUAUUGCCGGGCCUUUGGCGAGGGGAGGCAAACCCGGGCGCCUAGGCGCCCGCGGUUUUCCCCCGCUUAAACCUGAAGCUAGCCGGGAGAGCCCAACCGCAACGACUUGUAAAAUUUUAUCUGUCGCGGCGGCCUUUGGGAAGUUCCCCGGCCCUAACCUUUGAC